UGGGGUGUAGCUCAUUGGUAGAUUGCUUGCCUAGUAUGUAUGAGGCCCUGGGUUCACUUCACAGCACCACUA
rnacentral:tRNA from 1 species